ACUCAAAGGAAUUGACGGGGGCCCGCACAAGCAGCGGAGCGUGUGGUUUAAUUCGACGCAACGCGAAGCACCUCACCCAGGUUGGACAUGCACCUGCACGCCGGUGAAAGCCGGUUCCGUUCAGGGUGGUGCACAGGUGCUGCAUGGUUGUCGUCAGCUCGUGUCGUGAGAUGUUGGGUUAAGUCCCGCAACGAGCGCAACCCCCGCCGCCAGUUACGAGUGUCUGGCGGGACUGCCGGCUGUAUGGCCGGAGGAAGGUGGGGAUGACGUCAAAUCAGCAUGGCCCUGACGCCUGGGGCGACACACACGCUACAAUGGCCAGGACAGCGCGUCGCGACCCCGCAAGGGGAGGCAAAUCGCCCAAACCUGGUCUCAGUGCAGAUCGGGGGCUGCAACUCGCCCCCGUGAAGGCGGAGUUGCUAGUAACCGCGUAUCAGCCACGGCGCGGUGAAUACGUACCCGGGCCUUGUACACACCGCCCGU
rnacentral:rRNA from 1 species